GCGUUAAGUUGCAGGGUAUAGACCCGAAACCCGGUGAUCUAGCCAUGGGCAGGUUGAAGGUUGGGUAACACUAACUGGAGGACCGAACCGACUAAUGUUGAAAAAUUAGCGGAUGACCUGUGGCUGGGGGUGAAAGGCCAAUCAAACCGGGAGAUAGCUGGUUCUCCCCGAAAGCUAUUUAGGUAGCGCCUCGUGAAUUCAUCUCCGGGGGUAGAGCACUGUUUCGGCUAGGGGGCCAUCCCGGCUUACCAACCCGAUGCAAACUGCGAAUACCGGAGAAUGUUAUCACGGGAGACACACGGCGGGUGCUAACGUCCGUCGUGAAGAGGGAAACAACCCAGACCGCCAGCUAAGGUCCCAAAGUCAUGGUUAAGUGGGAAACGAUGUGGGAAGGCCCAGACAGCCAGGAUGUUGGCUUAGAAGCAGCCAUCAUUUAAAGAAAGCGUAAUAGCUCACUGGUCGAGUCGGCCUGCGCGGAAGAUGUAACGGGGCUAAACCAUGCACCGAAGCUGCGGCAGCGACACUGUGUGUUGUUGGGUAGGGGAGCGUUCUGUAAGCCUGUGAAGGUGGCCUGUGAGGGUUGCUGGAGGUAUCAGAAGUGCGAAUGCUGACAUAAGUAACGAUAAAGCGGGUGAAAAGCCCGCUCGCCGGAAGACCAAGGGUUCCUGUCCAACGUUAAUCGGGGCAGGGUGAGUCGACCCCUAAGGCGAGGCCGAAAGGCGUAGUCGAUGGGAAACGGGUUAAUAUUCCCGUACUUGGUGUUACUGCGAAGGGGGGACGGAGAAGGCUAUGUUGGCCGGGCGACGGUUGUCCCGGUUUAAGCGUGUAGGUGUGUGUUCCAGGUAAAUCCGGUUCACUUUAACACUGAGGCGUGACGACGAGGCACUACGGUGCUGAAGCAACAAAUGCCCUGCUUCCAGGAAAAGCCUCUAAGCAUCAGGUAACAUCAAAUCGUACCCCAAACCGACACAGGUGGUCAGGUAGAGAAUACCAAGGCGCUUGAGAGAACUCGGGUGAAGGAACUAGGCAAAAUGGUGCCGUAACUUCGGGAGAAGGCACGCUGACACGUAGGUGAAGUGAUUUACUCAUGGAGCUGAAGUCAGUCGAAGAUACCAGCUGGCUGCAACUGUUUAUUAAAAACACAGCACUGUGCAAACACGAAAGUGGACGUAUACGGUGUGACGCCUGCCCGGUGCCGGAAGGUUAAUUGAUGGGGUCAGCGCAAGCGAAGCUCCUGAUCGAAGCCCCGGUAAACGGCGGCCGUAACUAUAACGGUCCUAAGGUAGCGAAAUUCCUUGUCGGGUAAGUUCCGACCUGCACGAAUGGCGUAAUGAUGGCCAGGCUGUCUCCACCCGAGACUCAGUGAAAUUGAACUCGCUGUGAAGAUGCAGUGUACCCGCGGCAAGACGGAAAGACCCCGUGAACCUUUACUAUAGCUUGACACUGAACAUUGAGCCUUGAUGUGUAGGAUAGGUGGGAGGCUUUGAAGUGUGGACGCCAGUCUGCAUGGAGCCGACCUUGAAAUACCACCCUUUAAUGUUUGAUGUUCUAACGUGGACCCGUAAUCCGGGUUGCGGACAGUGUCUGGUGGGUAGUUUGACUGGGGCGGUCUCCUCCUAAAGAGUAACGGAGGAGCACGAAGGUUGGCUAAUCCUGGUCGGACAUCAGGAGGUUAGUGCAAUGGCAUAAGCCAGCUUGACUGCGAGCGUGACGGCGCGAGCAGGUGCGAAAGCAGGUCAUAGUGAUCCGGUGGUUCUGAAUGGAAGGGCCAUCGCUCAACGGAUAAAAGGUACUCCGGGGAUAACAGGCUGAUACCGCCCAAGAGUUCAUAUCGACGGCGGUGUUUGGCACCUCGAUGUCGGCUCAUCACAUCCUGGGGCUGAAGUAGGUCCCAAGGGUAUGGCUGUUCGCCAUUUAAAGUGGUACGCGAGCUGGGUUUAGAACGUCGUGAGACAGUUCGGUCCCUAUCUGCCGUGGGCGCUGGAGAACUGAGGGGGGCUGCUCCUAGUACGAGAGGACCGGAGUGGACGCAUCACUGGUGUUCGGGUUGUCAUGCCAAUGGCACUGCCCGGUAGCUAAAUGCGGAAGAGAUAAGUGCUGAAAGCAUCUAAGCACGAAACUUGCCCCGAGAUGAGUUCU
rnacentral:rRNA from 3 species